rnacentral:lncRNA from 1 species
CUAGAUUCUUGACAUGCUAUUUCCCCCAACUCCUUUGCGGACAAUGUAUUCCUGGAAAUUCUUCUUGUGCUUUACAUUGCUGUUAGUAAUGCUAGUCAAGUUAGAAGCUCGGCCCGACGAAUCCUUCAAAAAGAGAAUGAAGUUAACUGAAUAUUUCGAAGAAAUUAUGGAGAGAAAAGUAGUGUUUGAUGUAGGAAAUGAUGGAGACAGCGGUGUGGAAAGCCAUUAUAAUCCCAUGAGGUAUAUUCCAGAAGGACCAGACCCUAAACAUCACUGAUGCUAUGAUGAUCAGGAUAAGGAAACUUGCGGGCUAUCAUCAUUGAUUAGUAAAUUAC